UGAGUCAAGCCCAUCAAGGUACAAGGUUGAAGGUGGUUGUUGGCUGUGUUGAUACCUAUGCUCCUUGUCUUUACUUGUAUGAGGCAUCCCACCAGUGUGGGAGGGAAGCCCCAGAGCAUGGCAUGCUGUCCCAGAACUCAUCCUGGACAUCAUCUCAAGCUCCCUCUGCCCUUGUGUGCCCAUGUGGAUCUCAAUGUCCCAGUGUUACACAGUUUGUUACCUCUUGG
rnacentral:lncRNA from 1 species